CGCAGCCCAGGAUCCCUUGCGCCCUGCGGUAGCCCGGGGCUGCCCAGGGCUGCGGGCUCCAGGCACCCAGAGCGCUGCGACCACAUGAAAGGCCCGGCGCUCAGCACCCGCCAGCCACCUCCAGCUGGUUUCUAACUACACCGCCGGGGCCUCCAUGCUUCUCAGAGACCAGCCUUCGAAGUGCCGCCUUACACCCGGGGCCUGGCCACCGGGCGGGCGCGGAUGGAGCUCUGGUCCACAUUUGGGAGCUCACAGUUGUUCCUGCCAGGAACCAGCCAGAACAGGAGGCAGCCAGGGAGAGGGGAGCCAGGGAGAACACAGCCUCAGUCCUGGAAGGAGAGGGCCUGCUGGGAAGAACAGAACCCAGCUGUCUUGGCCCCAGAUGUGGAAGCUGAGACUUAAAGAAGCUAUGAAACUUGAUCAGGUCAUGCAGCGCCAGAGGACCCAAGGUGGGAUCUCAACCCAGACUGUUUGGCUCCAAAGCUGAACUGCUACAUUACGUUGCUUCAGCAAACAGUCAUUCAGGUAACUUGGUGAGGACGUGCUCAGUUCAAGUAACUAUGCCACAGUCUGGGGAGAGAAAUGAAUAAGGUAUAUUCCUGUACACAAGCCCACUGGGGAAACCUUGAUGAAACCCUUCUACUCGAAAACCUUUCCUCUGCUUGCAACUAGAUGUUUGGAAACAUUGUUUUGUUGUCAAAUUUCACAAAAUAUCUUGUGUUGGAGGAGUCUGUUAGACUUCUCUAAUUUCACCCUUCAGGUGAUGCAGAAGUCUCUACUGCCGACUACCUGCCCUCACACACACAUACACAGAAGGUGGAGCACAUCUAGCUUGGAUUUUAGAGCCAGUCUACGUGAGUCUGUAUCCUGGCUCAACCAUUCACUACUUGUGUGACCUUGGGCAAGUCCUUUGAGCUCUCUGAGUCUCAGUUUCUUCAUCUGUAAAAUAGGCAUAAUUUCACCGUUGUGAGGUUUUUGCAAAUAAGGUAACACACUGCAAAACAUUCAGCACCACUCUGGUGUAUAGUUAAGACCUGAUAAGUGUCAGCCAUUGUCUUUUAUCAUUAGGGAUGGGCAUCUCUUGCCACCCCAGUGAAACAGUUCCUUGUCCUGUCUCUUUCUUUGCUUCUGCCUCCCGGGGCACUCAGCCCAAGGCAAAUGUGCCUGAAGAUGGGGGUUAGUCAUCAGGUUCCCCUGCCUCAGAGGAUGAGAGCAUGACUGCUGCUCUCUGCCCAGUCUCCUAAGAAAUCUGAUUCAUGCCUUGCCAGUACUCUAUGAAUAUGCAUACUUCACCUGCAGCCCUGUCUCCUUUCACAAUGAGCUCAGUCAUUUGUACCUCCUGGGUCAUGUGCAGACAUCCUCAGUAUUACCCACUGAUGGGUGUUGGAGAAACUGCUAAGAAGAUGAGUCUUGAUAGGCAGGUGACAGUGACUUGACUCUCUAGUCCAUGGCUUUGCCUGUUUCGCCAUAUUUCAAAACUGCCAGGGGCUUCUGAAUUGACUGAUGACCCAACAUAGGGUCACAGUAUUUCAUUUGGCUGCUCUUAGACUGAAGUGACAACUUGGGAUAGCCCCAUCUGAAUGGGACCAGUUUGGGAGCCUUUUGUUUCACCCUCUUUCUCUCUCCAGUCUUUGUGGGUUCCCUGAAACGUGUGAGGUGGUUUGGGGAUGUUGAAAGUUAAGCCCCUCAAAGAGAAGACUUAUGCCUUAGAUUAGUGUUAGUGAUUACAAGCUCCGGGUUUUGAGACUGAUCUGGGUUUGAAACCUGGCUCAGCUUUUUGUUAGCUGUGACCCUAAGCUUCAUAACUUGUUUCUCUGAGUCUGUUUCCUUAUCUAUAAAUGGGAUUAAUAAUAGUAUUUAUUUCAUAGGAUGGUCGUAAGGAUUAAAUGCAUGUAAAGCACUUAAUAUAGUGCCUGGCACAAAGUAAGUGCCCCAUAGCUGUUACCAAUAUUAGGCAGCAGGAGAGACAGCACAGGACCAAGGGGCAAGAGAUCAAGGUUUGAGUUCCAGCUCUGCUGCUUGCUGGCUGUGUGACCUCAGGCAAGUCAUCUUCCUUCCCUGAGCCAGUUUCUCCAACUGUGAAAUGAAUGGUUUGAGUUUGAAGGUCACUCAGGUUCUUUCCAACUGUCUGAGAUCUGUGACUUUGAAGGUGACAAAAAAAGAAAACACAGGAAAAAAUAAUUAGUAGCAGAUGCCUUUAUCAGCCAAGAUAACAUUUCAUAAACCCCCGGGCCUCGACACCAUCUUCAAAAGCCACCCCAUCCCGCAGCUUCUAGGCAGAACCUUCUUGACCAGAUAGGGUGAAUGAACUGUUUGCAAGACUUUCUGGAGCCACAAGGAGGCCUCAGGGAAGGUGUAAGGCUAAAAAGCGAAGCCUGCAUCACAAAGGGAGCAGGCCUGAGAAAACCAGCUAACCCCAAACAUCAGACCUGGGGGAUUCUGCCUUUUGGUGCCUUGGGCGAGAAUCAUCCUCCACUUGACCAGAAUGGAUUAGUUUAUGGUAAGGGAGGGAUGUUGUCUCUAGAGCCUGGGGAUGUCCUGAUCUGUUGUAAAACAGGCCCCACCUGGGAAAUAGAACAUUUUCUUUUUUGGGGCCUAGUGACCUCUGACACCCCCACCCCCUUCUUCCUGGCCCACUGUGCAGUCUGAGUCACACCCAGCAGGAGACCAAUGCUGGGAAUGGAGGAGGCAUUCAGCAUCCCCCUUACCCACAAGAGUCUCCACCGAGUUAUUCUUAAGCCCUGCUUGAACCCUGAGGGGGAUGACAUGGGCAGGAUUUACAGAAAAUAAAAAAACAAUCAGUUUCAACUCGUUCUACCAGUUUUUGCCCCUUACAGUACAAAGUCUCUUAACCAAUCUUAAUGUAACAAAUUUCCCUUUACAGAGACAAUGGGCUUUAGAGGAGUUUAGUGAUGUUACUAACAAACAUAAGUACCUUGUACUAACCUCCUGGUGCCCAAGUGUUUGAGGUGAGAAAAACUGAAACAUGAAAAGCCCAGAGAGGUAAAGUGACUGGCUCAAGGUAAGUGGUGGAGUUGGUAUUUGAACCCAGAUCCCCUGUUACUUCAGAACCUCAGCUACCGCUGUGACUUUGGGUGCAAACCUGUCUGAAGCCUGUUGGUGAAGCUCUGCCCAGCUAUGAAGAGGCACAGAUCUGCCUGCCUCCCUUGGAAGGCUCAGACUCUUUUUCUGGAAGGCCUACCUUCUCAUCCUUUGGCAGUUGGGGGAACUGAAGCACAGUGAGGGAGAUAAGCGUGCCAUACAAUGAGAGGACAGAGCUCAGCGCUCUUCACUCAUGUGCCUGUGGGAAAGAGCCAGUUCUAGGGGUGGGGAUCGCGAAGGAGCACCCUACUUCCCUGUCCUUGUCACGUCCCAUGGCCAGUAGCCAUGUACUUUUUCCUCCUUUUUCUCUUGCCCAGCAAAUACAGGCUCCAGCUGCAGCCACUUUGAAGAUAAAGUUUCCUCCAUAGAAAUUCUGCAAUACAGAUGUCCUUCCGCGGUCCCAGUUCAGUCCUGCACCAGUUCCUUUUCCCACUGGGAAAUUUCUUUCCUCUUCCUACUUCCAUGCAACUGCGAGGCAAGGCUCAAGCCCACUUCCUUCUCCUUUUCCUGUGCCUCCCUGUGGAGGGAGCUCCCUCUUCUUCACAGCUCCAGGCUCUUCCCUACUCUGGCCCAACCUUAUGGGCAUUUUGCUCCAUAACUCUCCUCGAUCUGAACUGCUUCUGAUUUCUCUCAAGUCAUGUCGGGGAAUCUCACAAAUGCAUUCUGAGAAAUACAAGAAUGCCUGAGAUGUUCCCGGCAGAAAAGAUUCCAGGAUCAAAACAUUUGGGAAAAGCUUCACAUCUCUCCUUAGAAAUGAACAAGGCAUAGUCAUCAAGCAUCUGAAAAGUCCUGCAGUCAGGAAACCUACCUUGUUUGUUUUUUAACCCAGUAUUUCUCAAACUAAGAUGGCCAUGAUUUCAUCUCCUCCAUCCCCACUGACUCCUAUAACAACCUGUAGAACCAGUGAUCCACUGUGGAACACACUUUGGGAAACACUGUCCCCAGCCCUCCAAGAAGGCAUAGAGUUGACCUUGCCUUCAUUGAUUUAAACCCUUCCUGUUUCUCUGGGCUAUUUACUUAUUAUCUCACAUACAAAAUAAUCUAAGGUGAUGUCUGCCCAAUUGGGUUUUUAGGAAAGACAUACCCAAUGGGAAUGAAGAUUUUCUUAGCAGGAUUUGAUGAGCCCAUUACUAGAAAAAAAAUCAAGGAUUUCCCAGACUUUCAGGGUGAGGAGAGAAUUUGAUACAAGCAGCAGAGGCUGGGCGUAGUGACCCAUGCCUAGCACUUUGGUAGGCCAAGGAGGGAGGAUUGCUUGAACCCAGGAAUCCAAGACCAGCCUGGGCAACAUAGUAAGAUCCCAUCUCAAUUUUUUAAAGAAGGAUUUAUCAAACUUGUUUCCUAGUCAACGGAUAAAGCCAGAGAGGUAAUGGCCAGAAACCCAAAAUCUAGAGAGUACCAGAUAAAUACUUUUUGGGUGAAUGAAUGAAUGAGCAGGCUAUUGAUCACAAAGUUGGCAGACAUUGUGAAUGAAUGGAUGAAUUAAUAAACAAUCAAAUAACUGGUCUCCAGGCCUCCAGACUUUCUGAACUUCAUUGUAUCUACCUGCUGUGGCCACAUAUAUAUCUCCUCAAAACCCAGAUCUCAUCAGUCCACUCUUCUGUUCCCUGGCUGGCUCCCUGUUGCCUUCAGGAUAAAGUCUACAUGCCUUUGUCCUGGCAUUGAAAACUCUGCAAAACAAAGCUCCAACCUAGCUUUCCAUCCUUCUUUCUCUUCCCCAUUGGGUACCCCUUACUCUAGUCACACCAGUCCCCAAUUCACUUUAUCCGUCUCCUUUUCUUUCUCAAGCUAUUCUCUAUACCUCACCUUUUCUCCCCUGCCUCCAUUGUUGCUUAUUCAACCCUAGCAGUGCUUUCAGGCUCAGCUCAAACCUUAUCACCCAUGUUAAAUGAAAGAAGCCAGACACAAGAAGGGGACAUUCUGAAUGAUUCCAUUUAUAUGAAGGUUAAGAACAGGCAAAACUAUUGUGGGGAAAAAACAGAACUGUGGUUGCCUUUGGGGAGUGAGGAUUGAUUAGAAGGGGUUUUGGGGGUAUGAAAAUGUUCUUGAUCUUCAUUCCAGUGGUAAUUUCAUGGGUGAAUACAUUUGCCAAAAUUCACUGAAUUGUACACUAAAGAUCUGCAUUUCUCUGUAUUGUCAAUUUAAUCUAAAAAUAAAAAUCUUACCACCCAGA
rnacentral:lncRNA from 1 species